rnacentral:tRNA from 2 species
GAUAGGAUGGCUGAGUUAGGCAUUAGACUGUAAAUCUAAAGACAGAGGGGACGCCUCUUUCUAUCA